CCUACGGGUGGCAGCAGUGGGGAAUAUUGGGCAAUGGAGGCAACUCUGACCCAGCAACGCCGCGUGAAUGAUGAAGGUCUUCGGAUUGUAAAGUUCUUUUCUUAGGGAAGAAGAAAGUGACGGUACCUUAGGAAUAAGCCUCGGCUAACUACGUGCCUGCACCCGCGGUAAUACGUAGGAGGCAAGCGUUAUCCGGAUUGACUGGGCGUAAAGGGUGCGUAGGUGGUUUGAGAAGUUAGUAGCGCAACUCCGGAGCUCAACUGAGGAACUACAACUAAAAUUGGUGGACUUGAGUGCAGGAGGGGCAAGCGGAAUUCGUGGUGUAGCGGUGGAAUGCGUAGAUAUUAGGAGGAACAC
rnacentral:rRNA from 1 species